rnacentral:rRNA from 1 species
GAAGCGGCAAGAGCUCAAAUUUGAAAUCUGGCCCCCUCGGGGUCCGAGUUGUAAUUUGCAAAGGAUGCUUCGGGUGCGGCCCCCGUCUAAGUGCCCUGGAACGGGCCGUCAUAGAGGGUGAGAAUCCCGUCUGGGACGGGGUGUCCGCGUCCGUGUGAAGCUCCUUCGACGAGUCGAGUUGUUUGGGAAUGCAGCUCUAAAUGGGUGGUAAAUUUCAUCUAAAGCUAAAUACUGGCCGGAGACCGAUAGCGCACAAGUAGAGUGAUCGAAAGAUGAAAAGCACUUUGAAAAGAGAGUUAAAAAGCACGUGAAAUUGUUGAAAGGGAAGCGCUUGCGACCAGACUCGCCCGCGGGGUUCAGCCGGCAUUCGUGCCGGUGUACUUCCCCGCGGGCGGGCCAGCGUCGGUUUGGGCGGCCGGUCAAAGGCCCCCGGAAUGUAGCACCCUUCGGGGUGCCUUAUAGCCGGGGGUGCAAUGCGGCCAGCCUGGACCGAGGAACGCGCUUCGGCACGGACGCUGGCAUAAUGGUCGUAAACGACCCGUCUUGAAAC